CCUUUUUAAAUUGUUUUCAUUUUAACGAGGAGACAAAAAAUAUUAAUUUGUUAAAAAUAAUAUUGAAUAAUACUGGAUCUGAACAUUUUGUUAACCGCCAUCAAGACAACCGAAAUUUCAUCAAGUGAGUGUGAAUGUGCAUUAUGUCCUCUGGAGAAUUUAAUGCUUACCAAGAGAAAUGCAUUAAGUUCUAUUCAUAUUUCUUCUCUUAUGUUUGUAAAUUACGAGUACCAGAACUCCAGUAUAAACUUUUAAACCCGGGUCUUAUAUAUUGUAUUUGAUACGCAGAGGAAAAAGAUCUGCUGAAAUAAAGAAGUAAAUCACAGUUACCAAAAGUAAGUUGUGAAAUAUUAUUUAAAAUUAAUUGGGUGCC